GCCAGUGCUCAGGAGCUUCCCCCGCCCCUGAGCGGUAGAGUCCUGGCCGGCCUUGGAAGCCCCCCGGAGCCAUCGCCCCACCCCAUGCCCAUCUUAAUGCCCUCCACUAUUGUGGGAGACAUUUAACCUUGGAGAGAGGAGGUCUUGCCCUUAACCCCUCGCCCCCCGCCCCCAACAGAGGAGACUGUCUCAUAGAAACCUUGGAAGCAAACAAGAUGCCAGGCCUAUCCGUGCUUGGAGAUACUACUACGGACAAGGCCACAGAGAGACAACGCCAGCAACAUCCAGAUCUUAGGUGGGUUCUCUGGACCAAUGGCUAUCCUGGACAAACUUCUGGACCCCAUGGACUUCAUGACCAGACAACCAGGUUGCUGCUUACAAGCGUCUGCAUCCAUCGAAGGCUUCUUGCAGCCCACCAGCUCUCUGAAACUUUCUGGAGUCAAACCUCCCCUAGACUGUCUGCAAGUGCCACUUGGCUUCUGGAUGGGAAUGUGGCCCUGCUGGACACUCCCCAGAGCCAGGUGGACCCAGCCCCUUGGACCCUCUGCCCAGUCCUGAUGAUACCCUGACAGAGGACAUGACAUACUUGGCCAUUCUGAAGGAGAUGUGCAAUUUCCAGACAUCUGCAGGUCUCCACUCUAGACCAGGGUUAGGGGCUCAGAGUGGAUCUGAUCUAGAUCAACAUUUGUGGUUCUGGGUGUAGCUCUCUGGAGCUUGAAUGGUGUUUCCAAUGGGCGCCCAUUGCCAGGGCCACACCUUCAAUGCACAAAGGGAAAACUAAGGCAGUCUUCAAAGAGACAUCAUUUGCCGAGGUCACAAGGCAAGACAAUAUAUUUGUUGCUAAGGUUAGAACCCA
rnacentral:lncRNA from 1 species